CCUUCCUUGACUUCUAGGCUUCUGAUGGUCACCAGCAUUGCUUGGCGGGUAGCUGCAUCAUUCCAAUCUCUGCCUUCUGGUAUCUGCCAUCACACAGCCUUCCCUUCUCCCUGUGUCUGUCUGUCCAAAUUACCUCUUAUAAGGACACCAAUCACUGGAUCAGCGCCCACCCUAAUCCAUCAUGACCUCAUCUUAAUUACAUCAUCAAAGACCCUGUUUCUUGAGGUUCUAGAUAGAUGCAAAUCUGCGGGGAACAUUUCAGUACACUGGGCGUUUUGAAUCACUCUUCAGGAGUACCAGUCUGAAAGUUAUCAGACUUUUAGACUGCAGAGAUUAGUAAAAAUCUCCCUCCCCACCCCACACAAUUGAUAACCAAACUAGGUUUGCUAACAUUUUACUGAGUCAUUUAAAUAUUUGUUGGUUCUCUGUUAUAUGCCAAGCAUUUUACAUGCGACUGAGUAUAUGAUUGUAAACAAAACAGUCACAAUUAUUGCCUUCCAAAACAUUUUUUUGGGGGAAUUGGUACUAGGGAUUUAACCCAGGGGAAAUUUGCCACCGAGCUUCAUCCCAGACCUUUUUUUGUUGUUGUUAAAUAUUUAACUCACCAAGUGGCUUAGGGCCUUGCUAAAUUAUUGAGGCUGGCCUCAAAUUUGCAAUCUUCCUGCCUCAGCCUCCCAAUUCACUGGGAUUACAGGCAUGUUCCACCAUGUGUGGUGCCCUUCAAAAUACUUUUAAAUAUAAAUACCAUUAACAUAACACUUUUAAAAGGACAUUUCAACACACAAAAAGUUAGGAAAUACAAAUCUCAGCAAUAAUGAUGGUCCUUUCAAAUAGAACAAAGUUAACAUUAAGGAAAAACUCCUUUAACUUAUUCUUACAACAGAAAUCCAGAAAAACACCGUCUCAAACUAGAACCAGAUCUCAGAUUGGCCUUUGUGAAUCACAGUGUUGGAGCUUCCAAAGAAUGACUGUCUCUCAUACCCUUCCAUUCUAUAGCCAGUAACAGAUGGUUAGG
rnacentral:lncRNA from 1 species